rnacentral:lncRNA from 1 species
UUUUUUAUGACUAGGACCAAUCGUGGAGGACCAUUUCUUUAUGAUCUAGAGAUUGAGAAGAUUGCUAUAAGUAUAAGAAAAUAGAGCUAAGAAAGAAGGCAGAAACAUCAAGACAACACUUGAUCUGCUAUACCUGAAACAGAAAACAUGGAACAAGAAUGCACAUUGAGGGAAUUGGCAGCCCCACCUAUAAACCAACAACCCCACCAUCACCUGCCUAGACUUGGAUGUU